UUGGAGGGCAAGUCUGGUGCCAGCAGCCGCGGUAAUUCCAGCUCCAAUAGCGUAUAUUAAAGUUGUUGCAGUUAAAAAGCUCGUAGUUGAAUUUCGGGGUCAGUAGAUUGGUCAUGCCACUGGUAUGUACUGGUCUCACUGAUUCCUCCUUCCUGAUGAGCCGUAAUGCCAUUAAGUUGGUGUUGCGAGGAAUCUGGACUGUUACUUUGAAAAAAUUAGAGUGUUUAAAGCAGGCUAACGCUUGAAUACAUUAGCAUGGAAUAAUGAAAUAGGACGUUCGAUCUUAUUUUGUUGGUUUCUAAGAUUGACGUAAUGAUUAAUAGGGAUAGUUGGGGGCAUUAGUAUUCAAUUGUCAGAGGUGAAAUUCUUGGAUUUAUUGAAGACUAACUACUGCGAAAGCAUUUGCCAAGGAUGUUUUCAUUAAUCAAGAACGAAAGUUAGGGGAUCGAAGACGAUCAGAUACCGUCGUAGUCUUAACCAUAAACUAUGCCGACUAGGGAUCGGAUGAUGUUAAUUUUUUAAUGACUCAUUCGGCGCCUUACGGGAAAC
rnacentral:rRNA from 1 species